UACGUGGGGACCGAGCGUUGUCCGGAUUCAUUGGGCGUAAAGAGCUCGUAGGCGGCUGUUCAAGUCGAACGUGAAAACUCGGAGCUCAACUCCGAGCCUGCGUUCGAUACUGCCGUGCUUGAGGACUGGAGAGGAGACUGGAAUUUACGGUGUAGCGGUGAAAUGCGUAGAUAUCGUAAGGAAGACCAGUGGCGAAGGCGGGUCUCUGGACAGUUCCUGACGCUGAGGCACGAAGGUCAGGGGAGCAAACGGG
rnacentral:rRNA from 1 species